GACGAACGCUGGAGGCGUGCUUAACACAUGCAAGUCGUGCGGUCGAUACGGGGAGCUUGCUUCCUGUAAAGAUAGCGGCGAACGGGUGAGUAACUCGUGGGUAAUCUGCCCUAAAGUUCGGAAUAACUCCGGGAAACCGGUGCUAAUACCGAAUAAUCUUCCGAUCUCACAUGAGGACGGAAGUACAGGCUUCGGCCCCUUUAGGAUGAGCCCGCGUCCUAUCAGCUUGUUGGCGGGGUAACGGCCCACCAAGGCGACGAUAGGUAGCCGGCCUGAGAGGGUGUCCGGCCACACUGGGACUGAGACACGGCCCAGACUCCUACGGGAGGCAGCAGUGGGGAAUCUUGCACAAUGGGCGAAAGCCUGAUGCAGCGACGCCUCGUGAGGGAAGAAGGUCUUCGGAUUGUAAACCUCUGUCAGGAGGGACGAAGGGCGCAAGCUUGACAGUACCUCCAGAGGAAGCCCCGGCUAACUACGUGCCAGCCGCCGCAGUAAAAC
rnacentral:rRNA from 1 species